GGUCCGCUGGCCCAAUGGCAAGGCGUCUGACUACGAUUUGAUUCGUCAGCGUACAUCAGGAGAUUGUCGGUUCGAUCCCGGCGUGGAUCA